rnacentral:rRNA from 1 species
AUUGAACGCUGGCGGCAGGCCUAACACAUGCAAGUCGAGCGGAUGAAGGGAGCUUGCUCCUGGAUUCAGCGGCGGACGGGUGAGUAAUGCCUAGGAAUCUGCCUGGUAGUGGGGGAUAACAUCCGGAAACGGGCGCUAAUACCGCAUACGUCCUGAGGGAGAAAGUGGGGGAUCUUCGGACCUCACGCUAUCAGAUGAGCCUAGGUCGGAUUAGCUAGUUGGUGGGGUAAAGGCCUACCAAGGCGACGAUCCGUAACUGGUCUGAGAGGAUGAUCAGUCACACUGGAACUGAGACACGGUCCAGACUCCUACGGGAGGCAGCAGUGGGGAAUAUUGGACAAUGGGCGAAAGCCUGAUCCAGCCAUGCCGCGUGCGUGAAGAAGGUCUUCGGAUUGUAAAGCACUUUAAGUUGGGAGGAAGGGCAGUAAGUUAAUACCUUGCUGUUUUGACGUUACCAACAGAAUAAGCACCGGCUAACUUCGUG